rnacentral:lncRNA from 1 species
AUGGCUUUGAACGAUCUUCAGGACUUCUGGACUGAACACAGCAGAGACCCAACAUGUCUGAAGUUUCUGAGUCCCACUGUAAGGCUCACAGGACUGUUCCUCUUCCCCAGACACACUGGAGCUCACAUGCAGGUUCAUGAGGCGUCGUCUGCACAGGUGAGACCCUGUGUAAACCAGCAAGGACUUUCCUUCUGUUCCUUGCACUUUCAUUUCCAGGGGAAAUAAAGCCAGGCCCACACAGGCUGCAAGAGAAAGUGGCCUCCAACAUUGUCUCUCCUUGAUUACUGAUCUGGAUAAUCACAACCCUGUGACACACUAAAGUAUACAGGCAGCCUGGAAAAAAAAAAAAAAAAAAAAGUGGUUAUCUGAAUUUGGAUUUUGAGCUUACAUUUGCUUUCCAAUAAGGACUCCUUGAGAGGCUCUAACUAGC